GUAUGAAUGGAUAAACGAAAAUCAAGCUGUCUCUAUAAAUUUCAUAAAAAUUAUCCCUCAAGUGAAGAGACUUGAAUCAAAAUAAAAGACAAGAAGACCCUGUAGAGCCUAAGCAAAAUUAGAAGCAAAGAACAUAAUAAAACCCUUUCCCUUUAAUCUAGCUCCAGUUGGGGCGACUCGGGAGCACCAAAACCCUCCUUUUCCUUCUAGGCCCUUCAGCCAAAUCAACUGAUCCAUUACCAAAUGAUUAAAAAACCAGGCUACCUCAGGGAUAACAGUCUAAUCUUCCUUAAGAGUCCAUAUUGACAGGAAGGAUUGGCACCUCGAUGU
rnacentral:rRNA from 1 species